rnacentral:lncRNA from 1 species
CAGCCUGGGCAACAGAACAAGACUCCAUACCCCACCCCCCCAAAAAAAAAUUGCAAAUGACUGUAAUAUGUGGAUAGUUGAGGCCAUUGUCACAAAGGAGAUUUAGAUUUAUUGCUGUGGAAUUCUAAAGCAUGAGAGAGAGUCAUGAAAGAGAGAAGAAGAGAGAGAGAUGCUAACAGAGAAACAAGGAAACACAGAAUUAGCAAAGUGUUAGUUGAUAGACUGAGAUUUGAAAUGCUCUUUGGGGUAAAUAGGAUUUCAGUAGGUAGAGAUGUGUGAAAAGGCAUUUGGGACAGUUACAAGUUUGUGAACAGUGAUUUGGAUCAUGUUCAGGGAAGCAGAGAGUCAUUCUUUUAAAUGGAAACCUAUGGUACCAGCAGGGAAGAGAUAACAGAAAAGAUUACCAAAAAAAAAAAAAAAAAAAACUGGGACCAUCCUCUAGAAGGCCUUAAAUAUGCUGAGUAUUAAGUUUUGUUUGUUUUGUUUUAGGAAGAUUAGUAUGGUAAUGUGACCACCCAACAAGUUCUUCCUGCCCCACUGCACAAAUAAAGACCACGGCAUUGCGGUAAAGAAAGAGUUUAAUUGACGUGAGGCUGGCCAUGCCAUACAGGAGACCAAGUUACUACUCAUAUCAAUCUCCUGGAAGACUUGUAGGUUAGGGGUUUUUCAAAGGCAGUUUGGGGAAGGGGGUGGGUGUGGCUAAAAUGGAUGCUUGCUGCUGAUUGGCUGGGGCAGAGAUGAAAUCAUAGUGGGUUGAAGCUGUCCUCUUGAGCUGACUUACUUCUGGGUGGGGCAACAGAAGCAAGAGCAAGGUUGGUGGGGGCCAGGUGGAGUCAUGGGUAUCAGACCUGCAAAAAACCUGGGAAAAUGUCUCAAAAGGCCAGUCUACAAUAGUGAUGUUAUCUGUAGGACAGAUCUUGUGACCAGUCUAUGCCUUAGCAGAAUUCCUGCCCUUCUCCUAGCCUGAUGGCCUUUCAUUAGCUUUACAAAGAUUUUUUCUCAGCCUUGGUGUGAAGCCUCCAACUGAGUUGGAAGAUCCAAACUGGGACAGGGAAUUUAAAGAGGGGACCACAAAAUCGAUUCCAACAGAACUUUAAGUUUACCCCAGGUUAGCUUCAUCUGUUGCACACAGAGGCAUCUGCUUAACAGAUCAUUGUAGAUAUGAUUGCAAAUUCCACAUAAAGGGAAUAUUUAUAGGAAGGUCUGCCUUUCUGAAUACGUAACUAAAAAUUAGUUUGUUUUGUAAAACUGUACUUUAGGCCAAACUCUGAUUCACUGUAUUAAGAGUCCCAAACUAACCAAAUGAGAGGGACAUACUAGCAAAGACAUCUUCAUCCACAUGCGGGAGGGAAGAGGGAUACUGCCAAGUUCUUGCAGAAGGACAGCACGGUCUCUUUCAGCUCCUUAAAUAUGUUCUGAUGAGGCACUUCAGUAAAACAUGCCCAUCUGCGUGUUCCACUGGACUAAUGAAUAUGAAGUGUAUGUUCAGCUAUUGAUCUGAAUUAAGUCCUAGGACCAGAAUUUAGUGUCAUUAAUGAUCUCUUUAAUGAACGCAGGCAGAAACCAUUAUCAAAUGAUGAUUUUUUUUUUCAUCUUGGAAAGAUUAUUUUAAAUCCAAACACAUUCUUUCAACUCUGUUUUAACCCCCCAGAGAUAUAUUUUAAAAGCCAUUGUGAGAAAGUAAAUGAGAACAUUGUCCAAAGCCUGGGAGUGAAGCAUUUGGUAGGAACUGGAGGUGGGGAGAAGGAAUGUUAAAUUCCUCUUUCUUGAACCAUUACAGUACUUUUUCCUUAUUUGGUGCAUGUCUGGAGGGACAGGGCUUGGGCAGGGGAAUGCCCCUUCUACUCUGCUGACAAAAAGCACCAAGAGUGGCUGGAAAAGGCUGUAGAGCACUGGUUUCCAGAUUUUGUUGCACCUUGGAACCACUUGGAGAGCUUUAAAAAACACUGAUGUCCAGCUCUUACCUGCAGACAUUUUGAUUUCACUGGUCUAGAGGGUGAUCUGGACAUGGGGAUUUUGAAAACAGUCAGCUGGGCAUGGUGGCUCACGCCUGUAAUCCCAGCACUUUGGGAGGCUGAGGCAGGUGGAUUGCCUGAAGUCAGGAGUUCGAGACCAGCCUGGCCAACAUAGUGAAACCCCGUCUCUACUAAAAAUACAAAAAGUUAGCUGGGUGUAGUGACGGGUGCCUGUAAUCCUAGCUACUAGGGAGGCCGAGGCAGGAGAAUCACUUGAGCCUGGGAGGUGGAGGUUGCACUGAGCUGAGAUCGUGCCAUUGCACUCCAGCCUGGGCAACAAAAUGAAAUUUGAGCUUGAGCGAGUUUGAGCGAAACUCUUACUCAAAAAAAAAAUAAAUAAAUAAAAAUAAAAAUAAAGAAUAAAAA